rnacentral:rRNA from 1 species
UACGAACGGUCCAAACGUUAUUCGGAAUCACUGGGCUUAAAGCGUCCGUAGGCGGCUCGGAAAGUAGGGUGUGAAAUCCCACGGCUCAACCGUGGAAUUGCGCUCUAAACUAUCGAGCUAGAGGGAGAUAGAGGCGAGUGGAAUUCCCGGUGUAGCGGUGAAAUGCGCAGAUAUCGGGAGGAACACCAAUGGCGAAGGCAGCUCGCUGGGACGGUACUGACGCUGAGACGCGAAAGCGUGGGGAGCAAACAGG